AGAGUUUGAUCCUGGCUCAGAACGAACGCUGGCGGCGUGCCUAACACAUGCAAGUCGAGCGAGAAAGUCCGCAAGGAUGAGUAAAGCGGCGCACGGGUGCGUAACACGUGGGUAAUCUUCCUUGGAGCCCGGAAUAACUCCCCGAAAGGGGUGCUAAUACCGGAUAAGACCACGGGAUCUUCGGAUCCUGAGGGAAAAGGCGGCCUCUGUACACAAGCUGUCACUCCAAGAUGAGCCCGCGGCCCAUCAGCUAGUUGGCGGGGUAAUGGCCCACCAAGGCUACGACGGGUAGCUGGUCUGAGAGGACGAUCAGCCACACUGGAACUGAGACACGGUCCAGACUCCUACGGGAGGCAGCAGUGGGGAAUCUUGCGCAAUGGGCGAAAGCCUGACGCAGCAACGCCGCGUGUGUGAUGAAGGUCUUCGGAUCGUAAAGCACUGUCGGGAGGGACGAAUAAGGUGGCGGCUAACAUCCGUCGCUGAUGACGGUACCUCCAAAGGAAGCACCGGCUAACUCUGUGCCAGCAGCCGCGGUAAUACAGAGGGUGCUAGCGUUGUUCGGAAUUAUUGGGCGUAAAGCGCGUGUAGGCGGCCAGGCAAGUUGGGUGUGAAAGCCCUCGGUUUAACCGAGGAAGUGCGCCCAAAACUACUUGGCUUGAGUACCGGAGAAGGUGGCGGAAUUCCCGGUGUAGAGGUGAAAUUCGUAGAUAUCGGGAGGAACACCAGUGGCGAAGGCGGCCACCUGGACGGAUACUGACGCUGAGACGCGAAAGCGUGGGGAGCAAACAGGAUUAGAUACCCUGGUAGUCCACGCUGUAAACGAUGAGCGCUAGGUGUUGUGGGUGUUGACCCCUGCAGUGCCGCAGCUAACGCAUUAAGCGCUCCGCCUGGGAAGUACGGCCGCAAGGCUAAAACUCAAAGGAAUUGAUGG
rnacentral:rRNA from 1 species